UACAGAGGUCCCAAGCGUUGUUCGGAAUCACUGGGCGUAAAGGGCGCGUAGGCGGCCCUCUUAGUCGCGUGUGAAAGCCCCGGGCUCAACCUGGGAACGGCGCGCGAAACGGGAGGGCUGGAGUUCGGGAGAGGUGAGUGGAAUUCCGAGUGUAGAGGUGAAAUUCGUAGAUAUUCGGAAGAACACCAGUGGCGAAGGCGGCUCACUGGACUGGUAUUGACGCUGAGGUGCGAAAGCGUGGGGAGCAAACAGG
rnacentral:rRNA from 1 species